UACGAAGGGGGGCUAGCGUUGCUCGGAAUCACUGGGCGUAAAGCGCACGUAGGCGGCUUUUUAAGUCAGGGGUGAAAUCCUGGAGCUCAACUCCAGAACUGCCUUUUGAUACUGGCGAUCUUGAGUCCGGGGAGAGUGAGUGGAACUGCGAGUGUAGAGGUGAAAUUCGUAGAUAUUCGCAAGAACACCAGUGGCGAAGGCGGCUCACUGGCCCGGUACUGACGCUGAGGUGCGAAAGCGUGGGGAGCAAACAGG
rnacentral:rRNA from 1 species